UACGUAGGGUGCGAGCGUUAAUCGGAAUUACUGGGCGUAAAGCGUGCGCAGGCGGCGCGUUAAGACAGGUGUGAAAGCCCCGAGCUUAACUUGGGAAUCGCGCUUGUGACUGGCGUGCUGGAGUGUGGCAGAGGGAGGUGGAAUUCCACGUGUAGCAGUGAAAUGCGUAGAGAUGUGGAGGAACACCGAUGGCGAAGGCAGCCUCCUGGGCCAGCACUGACGCUCAUGCACGAAAGCGUGGGGAGCAAACAGG
rnacentral:rRNA from 1 species